rnacentral:misc_RNA from 1 species
GUAGGUGAACCUGCGGAAGGAUCAUUAUAGAAAUAAAACUGAACAGGCUGUUUUUGCUGGUCCUUCUCGAGGGACAUGUGCACGCCUGUCGUCUUUAUUUUUCCAACUGUGCACAUAUUGUAGACCUGGAGUUUUUUUCUUAUCGUUCGAAUAGAUUGAGGACUGCCGUUGAGGCUUUGCCUUGUAUUUUCCAGGUCUAUGUUGUAAUACAUUUUCACAACGUGUUUCAGAAUGUCGAGUACUGGGGAUA